AGUGUAACAGCACCAUUGGCUGGACAACAGAUAGAUAGGCAGUGUAACAGCACCACUGGCUGGACAACAGAUAGAUAGGCAGUGUAACAGCACCACUGGCUGGACAACAGAUAGAUAGGCAGUGUAACAGCACCACUGGCCGGACCACAGAUAGAUAGGCAGUGUAACAGCACCACUGGCUGGACAACAGAUAGAUAGGCAGUGUAACAGCCCCACUGGCUGGACAACAGAUAGAUAGGCAGUGUAACAGCCCCACUGGCUGGACAACAGAUAGAUAGGCAGUGUAACAGCCCCACUGGCUGGACAACAGAUAGAUAGGCAGUGUAACAGCACCACUGGCUGGACAACAGAUAGAUAGGCAGUGUAACAGCACCACUGGCUGGACAACAGAUAGAUAGGCAGUGUAACAGCACCACUGACUGGCUGGUUUAAACAGUGCAUGAUAAUGUCCUGCCGUUCUCGUUAAUUGAUAGUUCUAGUUAAUCCACAGGGGGGCGAUGUUGAAUAAGGCUUGGACUGAUGGGCUGAUGGGCUGAUGGACUGAUGGACUGAUGGACUGAUGGGCUGAUGGGCUGAUGGGCUGAUGGGCUGAUGGACUGAUGGGCUGAUGGACUGAUGGGCUGAUGGACUGAUGGGCUGAUGGACUGAUGGACUGAUGGACUGAUGGGCUGAUGGACUGAUGGGCUGAUGGACGGACGGACUGAUGGACUGAUGGGCUUACCGGGGUCUCAGACAACAUACUUGUGUGUGUGUGUGUGUGUGUGUGUAUGUGUAUGUGUAUGUGUAUGUGUGUUUUUGUGUGUCAGUGUUUGUGUUUGUGUGUGUGUGUGUGUGUGUGUGUCAGUGUGUGUGUGAGUCAUUGUGUGUGUGUGAGUCAUUGUGUGUGUCAGUGUUUGUGUUUCAGUGUGUGUGCCAGUGUGUGGGCUUUAUUGGCAUGGGAAACAUAUGUUAACAUUACCAAAGCAAGUGAAGUUGUCACGUCCUGACCAUAGACAGCCCUUGUUUCUCUAUGGUGUAGUAGGUCAGGGCGUGAUGAGGGGGUGUUCUAGUUUAACAUUUCUAUGUUGGUGUUUUGGUUUGGUUCCCAAUUAGAGGCAGCUGGUAAUCGUUGCCUCUAAUUGGGGUUCAUAUUUAAGUAGCUAUUUUUUCCCACCUGUGUUUGUGGGAUAUUGUUUUGUGUUUGUGCAUGUGCACCACGUGGUCACGUUUCCUUGUUCGGUUAUUGAUUUAUUGUUUUUGCUUAAAGUUUGUAAUAAAUUUGUGGAACUCAA
rnacentral:lncRNA from 1 species